CAAAUUAUCUCUUAAAGAGGAUUAUUAUUUACAUUAAUGAUUUGAUUGUGUGAUUCAAUCUAAUUUGA
rnacentral:tRNA from 1 species